GGAUAUUAUUUUUAUGGUCAAAAAUUUUGAUCCUUCAUUUGAGAUACCCCAUAGUGCCAUUUGUUUUGGCUCUCUUCUCGCUCUUGUUGGACGAAUUGAGGACAGUUUUGCAAACAGAUUUUGAUUUUGCUGGACUCGGUUCAGCUCGUGGUGCGGUAAUUAGAAAAUAUGUUAGUGUAAAUAAAAUAAGUUUAUAAGUCCACCGUUGAAGUAAUUCAAAGGCUCGAAAGCCAAAUGUAAAAAAGUGCGUGUGUGCGAAGGUGGACGGCGAAGCGGAGUGGCAGCAAAGGGAUUAUCCCGGACCAAGAAGGACAUCGGUAAAGCGAUGGCCGGAAAAUAUCAUUAAUGUAGAAUCUUCGGAAGCCGGUGGAUCCUGAUGUGACCGAUUUGCCGAUCGGAGAAUGCAUCUGAAGUGAGCGGGAAUGCAGGUGGCCAGAAUGCAGUUUUCGUGCACAUAAAUGGAUCAAAAUUUGGCCGGCGAAAAUAUCGCCUUUCAACGGACGCCGCCAGCACCGUGCACCGGAAUUUCAAGGAAGCCCGUCCUUGUGGAUGAAGGAAGACGUACGCGGGACGAGAGGGAAGGUCAACGCAAGCGCGCGCGGCUGAAGCAGGCCGAUAGAAGGGAAGAUCGACCGGUACGAAGAGGUGCGGAUCAGCUGGCGGCAGUACAGAGGGGCAAAUAAUGUGAGCAAAUUGGUGAGUAAAUAAAACGAGAGAGUGAAGAGAGAAUUUUCCGUGUUGUCAUUUUUUACUAUCCGAAAGGGUGGGGGUAAAAUGAUGAGAUUCAUUUUGAAUGUUGCAUGACACCCCACGCGACGCGUCGCAUGAACCUCAUCCACCGUGCUGCUGUUGCUGGCAUAAUGAUGAGAAAUUGGAUGAAGUUGCUCCCAUACAAAAGUUCAUGCGACAUCGGCGAUUUUGCUGCCUGGGUUGCUGC